AUGAAGAAGGCUGUGCCUAACCAGAUAGUAAAAACAUAUCUUAAUGUUAUUAAAACAGCAGGGGACUGCUACAUAAAGCCAGAUCUAUGGGAAAGGAAGGAAAAUACAGAAUCAUACUUCAGUGUACAGCUCGCACACACGUACUGCAUUAACCCUGUACCAGAUUUUCACAGUGAAGAUUACAGCCGUGGCUUUCACCAAGCUGAAAAACAAGCUUUAACGGGAAGAUCCACACAAGACCCAACUUGAUGAGAAAGGUAAGGUGUUGCUAUGGCAAUUCCACUCGUUGGAACUUUUCUCUGUUGGCUUCAUUCUGACAGUAUAUUCUAAAAAGAAUUAUAUGAAAAGGUGUGGUGGCUGUGAAGACAUACUUGAAGCCAAGAAGACAGAACUCUCUCAUCUUUCUUUCUCCAAAAGAGACCAUGCUGUCAUCUUGGAAUGCCACCGAACGUAGUCAGAGGGCUGGCUGAGGAAGUGUCAUUCUGAGAUUUCAUUGAGCUCUGCGCUGUAUUUCUUUUUGGCUGAAGUGGAAAAUUGGCGAUGCCAGGGUUCUAAGCACAAUUACAACAUGAAGAAGGAUGCUUUGUCUACACCGAAAGACGAUAAGGCCUUGGCUCCUGCAAGAACGACGAUCUGCUUUGUUGUGGUGGGUGGUUGUGUGGCUUUGUUGUACUUUCAGCAGAGGUUUGAGGUAUUAAAAUAUCACUUGAAUCCAGGCAUUCAAAGGGAAUGAAUCCCAGGUCUGAGUGCCUCCGAUGGAGAAGAAGGAUUUAUUAAUUCACUUAAUGCCAUUUCUUUCCAAACAGACCUUCCUCUCGUAGGUUAUAAUCCAUCCAAUUGCUCAUAAAAACAACCUCACUUAGACUCUAAUUGUAGGCAUUGUGUCAAGCAUUUUUUUUCCCUGAUUAAUAUCACAUAAGCUCUUCACAAACAACUCUGUGAGGUAGAUACUAUUAUCAACUGCAUUUUGUACAUGAAUAAGGGGAAUUCAGAGAAAAUAUGGGCUAAGGUUGAUCAUCUGCAAAGGACAAAUAGAAGUUGAACCGAAAAGAUCUUAAUGUGUUAUUAAACGAAACUAACUGUGUCAAAAUUUGAUGGGGGAGAGGAAGCCUAAGAAAUUUACUAAUAAGCAGAAGAAACUGUGUUUUUGCUGUUCCUGUAAAAACAUCCCUUUCCAAGCUACAAAAUACAACCAAUCAGGCAAGACUGAGGAGGUGAUGUAUCAGAGAAUUGUUACCUUAAAAAAGGAUCCAUGUGCAAACUGAAUUCCACAAUAAUCAUCUAUUGAGCUCUGAGCAUAUGCUCUGAGCAUAAAAAGACCUCUAAAACCAGCUCCUACCCCAGAAGAUUUGAUAAAUUAUUGGAAAAACAGAAUUAACAAGUAAAGCAGGGAUUCCUCUAGUUAGAACUGAGCGUUAAGUGCAUGUAGUGAUAAGACAGAGGUUCUAAAUUAGCAGCCUGAUGGCUGAUGUUGGUCUCAGAUACACUUAAUUUGAACCAAAAAAUCUGAGUCUUCCUUUUUUUUUUUUUUUAUUGGCUGCUACGUGGAAGUUUCUGGGACAAGGAUGGAACCCACAUCACAGCUGUAACCAGAGCCGUGGCAGUAACAAUGCCAGAUCCUUAACCCACUGAGCCAUGAGGGAACUCCCGAAUCUUCUUAAACACACACACACACACACACACACACAAACGUGUAAGCACAAAGUUCCUAUAUCCCAUUUGGUGACAACUGGCUGAAGCUAACAGAAAGUUUCAGUUUCAUAGUGGUGUGUACUCACUAGUUUUCUGGAUUCCUCACCCCUACUCUUUUCCCCACACUGAAAUUCAAGGACAGUUGUCAAUUCUUAUAAGGCUAGUGUCCUUGCUUUUCUUAUACCUCUUUAUAUAUCUUACUUUCCUGGCCCCUACAGGCUUUCGAGGUUGUCACCAACUUGUAAGGACACCAAAAAGCAUUUGAGCUUCAUAUUAAUGAUAGGCAAGAACAAAAAGCCCAUCCUUCAGGAAGAACAGAGUAUUUCCUACCUUCUCUCUGCUUUCGUGGUAUGCUGUGGAUAGACUCAGACAGUCAAGAGAUAUGGAAUCGGAAUUGAAGUUGGCACUAUUACCGAGAUUUUCAGAGAGAUGAUUUAUUGCAGACCAAUUUUGAUUUCUCUAAACCUGGAGAGGACGUAGGUCAUGCAUUGCAAUGCCCAGGUGUGUGUGCGAUCAACAUUUGCCGACAAGCAGAUGUAAUUUACAGGCAGAGAAGAUGCCAGCUGAGGUGGUGGAGAACUGAGUAGAGGAAAUACAAUGGAGUAGAAGGCUAGCAUGAGGGAGGGAGGGAGAGAGAGGUACGGAAAGAGGGGAGAUUUUAAGAGGUGUGUGGUUAGAGCUCCUCAAACCCUUAUGCUUUACUCAGAUGCUUGGCCCUUUCUAGCGAUGCAUCCAGCAGCUUCUGAUGAAAUGGACCAUGACAUGUUUUUCUUGGCUCUUCCUUUUAUCUCUCCCUGGAAUGGUUCUUUCUCUGCAAACCUUCAAUUCAUCUGAUUCUCUCUUACAUUUCAACUCCUCGUUCAGGAGGCUCAUUUUACCACUAAACUUUCUGUUGCCCUUUAGAAAAGGAAAGAAUUUCUCCCUUUAUGCCACAAAGACCUUGAGUAGGUUUCCUUCAUUAUUAGACUUAUGACAUCGCUUUGAAAGUAUGUGCUCCAUCUUCCCUACAGAGUAUGAAUUCUUGGGAAGGUGCCCAUGUUUUACUUAACUCUGUAUCGCUGUUUCCCAGCUUGGUGUAAUAAAUAUUUGUUAAAUACAUGAAUAAAUACA
rnacentral:lncRNA from 1 species